UGACAUAGCGCUUGAUAGGCUGUAGGCACC
rnacentral:misc_RNA from 1 species